rnacentral:lncRNA from 1 species
AAUUUAUAUCCUACAAGUUUAAACAUAAAAUAAGUUUAAUUUAUAUCCUAAAAGUUCAAUUCAUAUCCAAAAGGUCUAAUUCAUAUCUUAAAAGUUCAAUUCAUAUCCUAAAAGUUCAAUUCACAAGAACAAAUCCUAAAAACUAAAAGUUCAAUUUAUAUCCUACGAGUUUAAACAUAAACUAAAAGUUUAAUUUAUAUCCUAAAAGUUCAAUUCAUAUCCAAAAGGUCCGAUUCAUAUCCUAAAAGUUCAAUUCACAAGAACAAAUCCUAAAAACUAAAAGUUCAAUUUAUAUCCUACGAGUUUAAACACAAACUAAAAGUUUAAUUUAUAUCCUAAAAGUUCAAUUCAUAUCCAAAAGGUCCAAUUCAUAUCCUAAAAGUUCA